rnacentral:tRNA from 1 species
GGGGUUGUGGCUCAGUGGCAGAGCACUUGCCUAGCAUGUGUGAGGCAUUGGUUCAAACCUCAGCACCA